rnacentral:rRNA from 1 species
GGAUUAGUGCGCCGGUCGUGCCUUCGGUAUGUACUGGUGUUACUGGUUCCUACCUUCUGACGAACCGUCAUGUCAUUAAUUUGGUGUGGCGGGGAAUCAGGACUGUUACUUUGAAAAAAUUAGAGUGUUUAAAGCAGGCUCGCGCUUGAAUACAUUAGCAUGGAAUAAUGAAAUAGGACG